AUGCUUGUCGAGACAAAUGAGCAUGAACAAUACUAUGUUUACAAGCUUCUUAAGUUGGUAUUAAUUCUGCCAAUAGCUAUUGCUAGUGUUGAAAGGGUGUUCUCUUCAAUGAACCAUGUAAAUAAGCUAAGGAGCAAAAUGGGUGAUGAUUACUUGAACAAUUGUUUGGUUACAUUUGUUGAGAGAGAAUUCUUCAAUCAAGUAAAGGAUGAGGAUGUCAUCAAUUUCUUCCAAAAAGGCGAUAGAAAAGUUAUAUUAUAA
rnacentral:rRNA from 1 species